rnacentral:lncRNA from 1 species
CCUGUAUCUAAAUCAAUGUCUUAGAAAGCCAACUUACAAAAACUAAACAAAUGGACUAAAGUACUAGCAUAUUUGAACCUCUACUAAUAGUGAUACAAAAACUAAACAAAUUGCAUUCACAAUGAUAAAGCAAAACAAUACUUAGAGCCAUAUAUUUUCCUUAUUUAACAAGAUAGCAAUUUCUGAAUUAAUGUACCAUAACUGACAUCUACUAACGACUCUUAGCAGUUGGAGUGUUUAAUGACCAAUUACACAGGAAGAUCAUUGUUGAGGCUAUUGAUUAAGCUAAUCACGUAUUGCAAUUCAAAGGCUACUGAAUGACCAAAUAUUUAGCGAUCCAGCAGUUUACACAGUCUAGUGAUAGCCCAGGAAAGUUCAACAACCCAGAAAUGUUUGAAAUCCUCACCAGAAUCAAUAGAUCUACCCCAGACAUCACCAAUAAUGACCGAAAAACUUGAAAAAGAACACAUAGCACUUUUGGAACUUUCAGCAGACAGAACUCAACCAAAACUAGCUCAAUCAGACCCAAAUUCACUCGAAAUAGACCCAACAGAUCUCUGAAAAACUAAGGUAACAGAAAUUGAACCUAAAACUUGUAAACUAACAGCUGUGAGUUGAAAUUCACUUAAUGCUCAAUGGAACAGUAACUUUUCUUUGGAUUUUUGAUGUUUUCUUUUUUUUUUUUAAAGAUUUGAAGUUUGGAUCUCAAAUUUCUGAUCUGAAACUUGUAGAGAAAGACAUGGAAUUUUUG